GUUUUCUGUGACUGGCAUCUUUCUGAGCAUCGUGUUCUCAAGACUCCUCCAUGUUCUAGCGUGUACAGAACUCCUUCCGCGAUAAGGCCAAAAAGCUUUUGCUACAGAGGCUCUACCACCGGACACCGUGGAACACAGUGCUCCAGACAGAUCCCCAAGGCUGCCACAUCCUCACCAACAUACAUCAUUUGCUGUUCUCUCUUUUUGUAUGAUGAGCAUCCUGAUAGGUGUGAGGUAAAGUUCAUUGAGGUUCUUGUUUUUCUGGCAUUGGGGGCAGACCUCAAGGCCUCUUGGAUGCCAGUACCAGGCCUCUUUUUACUCUUUAUUUAUUUGUGUGUGUGUACAUCCUCAAUCACUUUUCAUCACACUUUUUGAGACUGAACCUGGAGAAUCACCGGUCAGCUAGACUGACUAGUAGACAAGCCCCAGAGAUCCCCCAUCUCUGCACCCCUGUUGCUGGGAUGAUAAAUGUGUGACCUCUGCCA